rnacentral:lncRNA from 1 species
GGCCCGAACUUCUCGUUACUUUGAGGAAGUCUAUUUUCUCCUGCCAGUGUUGAGUUUUCCCUUAGAGACUGAGGAUUUUUGAUAAGAGUUUUCUUCCUCAUUGAGAUGAGAUUCCUUGUGUCUUAGAUGUAGUUCGUUUUUCCCUUAUCUCUGACGUAGCUCGUCACUUUUCCUUUUUCUCUCUUCUUUUUUUUUAUGUUUGGGUG